ensembl:lncRNA
GCAAGGUGUAGAAACUGAAAUUAACUGACUGUGCGAUGGAAAGCUUCCAGCUUUGGAAGGAAGUCCACCUUGAUUUCCAUCCUGGCUCUGUGCCUUCAGGGCUGUGUGACCUUAGACCACUCAGAGACCUUUCUGCCUUGCCUUUCUGCCGGAUUCCCCAGCAUGUGGUCCAGAGCCCAUCGCAGAGCAGGCCCCAGAGGUUGCAAACAAAUUUUCACUGGGUGAAGACAAUUACAUUUACAGGCUCUCCAGAAGUCCUUGGCUUGGCCGGAUGGCAGCUCUGCUCCCCGGGGCAGGAGAAGGUUUGGAGUGCUGGCAGAAGCUUCUCGAAUCCUCCCGUUGCUCCUGCUGUGGCCUUGGCUCAGGCUGGGGGCUCCAGUGCCUCUCCCAGUGGGUGCCGGAGGCUGGAGCCGCCUUUGUCUGCCGCAGGAGGCCAGCCAGGCGGCUGCGGCUGCAACCGGCCCCUGCCCAGGCCUGGGAGAUGGUUUUUUUUUCCCUGUGUGUUGCAGCUGGGACCAUUUAUAAUAGAAAAAAAGAGAGAGAGAGAAUGACCAGGCCAGCCGGCUGGAAAAUAAAGAG